rnacentral:rRNA from 1 species
CGCUGGCGGCGUGCUUAACACAUGCAAGUCGAGCGAUGAAGCUCUUCGGAAGUGGAUUAGCGGCGGACGGGUGAGUAACACGUGGGGUAACCUGCCUCGUAAGAGGGGAAUAGCCUUCCGAAAGGAAGAUUAAUACCGCAUAAGAUUGUAAUAUCGCAUGAUAUAGCAAUUAAAGGAGUAAUCCGCUAUGAGAUGGACCCGCGUCGCAUUAGCUAGUUGGUGAGGUAACGGCUCACCAAGGCGACGAUGCGUAGCCGACCUGAGAGGGUGAUCGGCCACAUUGGGACUGAGACACGGCCCAGACUCCUACGGGAGGCAGCAGUGGGGAAUAUUGCACAAUGGGGGAAACCCUGAUGCAGCAACGCCGCGUGAGUGAUGACGGUCUUCGGAUUGUAAAGCUCUGUCUUUAGGGACGAUAAUGACGGUACCUAAGGAGGAAGCCACGGCUAACUACGUGCCAGCCGCCGC